rnacentral:rRNA from 1 species
AUUGAACGCUGGCGGCAUGCCUUACACAUGCAAGUCGAACGGCAGCACGGGAGCAAUCCUGGUGGCGAGUGGCGAACGGGUGAGUAAAGCAUCGGAACGUGCCCAGUCGUGGGGGAUAACGUAGCAAAAGCUACGCUAAUACCGCAUACGAUCUGUGGAUGAAAGCGGGGGACCGUAAGGCCUCGCGCGAUUGGAGCGGCCGAUGUCAGAUUAGGUAGUUGGUGAGGUAAAGGCUCACCAAGCCGACGAUCUGUAGCUGGUCUGAGAGGACGACCAGCCACACUGGGACUGAGACACGGCCCAGACUCCUACGGGAGGCAGCAGUGGGGAAUUUUGGACAAUGGGCGCAAGCCUGAUCCAGCAAUGCCGCGUGCAGGAUGAAGGCCUUCGGGUUGUAAACUGCUUUUGUACGGAGCGAAACGGCUUCCACUAAUACUGGGGGCUAAUGACGGUACCGUAAGAAUAAGCACCGGCUAACUACGUGCCAGCCGCCGCAGUAACAC